GGAAUUAAAAUAAGUUAGAGAUCAUUACCAAACAAAUUUGAUCUUGAUCUUCUCUGGUCCAACAAUUGGAGAAGGUGUUCUUCAAAUCAUUUGCAGCCACAUAGAGUCAUCUGGCCUCUAUAGAAAGAUCCAUGCAAAGACAGACGUAGAUCAGGGACUUGGAGGUGCUAGCCUGCAAGUAACUUCGAUAGCUGAUUUAUUCCUCCUUCUUCAAGUACCUUGGACAUUCCAAAGUAAGAGAAGAUCAAGAGGAGGAAUAG
rnacentral:lncRNA from 1 species